CAAGGGUUUGAAACUCCAUACA
rnacentral:miRNA from 1 species